AGACCUAGGAGUUCAUGCAUCUGCGGUUCGGGUUGGGGACCGAGCGACGGAUUUCGGUCAAGGGGUUUGUCGGCUAGCACAGAGGCAUGCUGCAUAAGAAUUAAAUAAUUAGAUUAAGCAAGGCAGCGAGGAAGGCGUCUCGGAAACAAGCAUGGUGAUGGCUUGCUCAACUGCAAGUUCCACAAAAAAUGGAUGGAUAUUUUCUCCUGGAAUGCAGAUGGAUGUAUGAUUGAGGAGAUGAAGCAAGCAUCCUGCUAUGAUAUGAUCGAGUUGUAUCUCGGGUACAUAGGAAAGUAGCUCAACAACUGGCACAAAAAGAGCAUGCAGCAGGUUGAUGUAUGACUGUUUAGAACUUGUGACUGAUUUAGAUUGACCAUCAUAUGGACCAAUCCAAGCUCCGCCAGGAUGUAGACAGUGUCUGUAAAUUCCUUCUGGACCAGUACAUCAAUGAGAAACAUGUCAAUCACAACGCUCUACAUUAAUCAUUAUGAACAAAGUCAUGUCUAGUUUUAUUGAUGAUUGAUUGGUUAUUGUUCAUGCUCUC